rnacentral:rRNA from 1 species
GAUGAACGCUGGCGGCGUGCCUAAUACAUGCAAGUCGAGCGAACGGACGAGAAGCUUGCUUCUCUGAUGUUAGCGGCGGACGGGUGAGUAACACUUGGAUAACCUACCUAUAAGACUGGGAUAACUUCGGGAAACCGGAGCUAAUACCGGAUAAUAUUUUGAACCGCAUGGUUCAAAAGUGAAAGACGGUCUUGCUGUCACUUAUAGAUGGAUCCGCGCUGCAUUAGCUAGUUGGUAAGGUAACGGCUUACCAAGGCAACGAUGCAUAGCCGACCUGAGAGGGUGAUCGGCCACACUGGAACUGAGACACGGUCCAGACUCCUACGGGAGGCAGCAGUAGGGAAUCUUCCGCAAUGGGCGAAAGCCUGACGGAGCAAAGCCGCGUGAGUGAUGAAGGUCUUAGGAUCGUAAAACUAUGUUAUUAGGGAAGAACAUAUGUGUAAGUAACUGUGCACAUCUUGACGGUACCUAAUCAGAAAGCCACGGCUAACUACGUG